AUUGGCAACGAUGAAAUAGGGGGUACACCUGUUCCCAUACCGAACACAGAAGUUAAGCCCUAUGAUGCAGAAGAUACUUUAGGUGAGAAUCUAGGGGAAAAUAUGGGGUUGCCAAUU
rfam:Clostridium sp. CAG:465 genomic scaffold, scf73